UCUCAAACCACGGCCCAGUGAAGGGCUGACCUGUCCAGGAGAGGAGCGCCAGGCACGGCACAGACUUCUUUCUGUCUCCAUGGCUCUGGCCCCAGCUGCCUGCACAGACCAUGUCUUAACUGACAGAAAAUGAAAGCUAACUCUGGACAAUCGUUCCCAUUUAUAGAGUACCCACUUCUCACCCGACACUUUACAUCCUUUAUCUCCAUCCUCCUCCCGGCUCUUCCAGUUGUCACGAGUGUAUGAGCUUCUCCUCUGCGACAAGUGACCCAUGAAGAAAAGGAACAGAGAGAGAAAGGGGCUGCCCUGCCUAGGAUUAACAAAUGUUACAUUGGCCCACCAGCACCAGGGAUCGUGAGUGAACUUGUUGAUCUUGCAGAAGAUUUAAAAAUUUAUGACUCCCUCAGAAGAUGCAGCAAGGAAGAGCGAGCAUGAGCCAGUCUCCAUCUCACACAGCAAGGGAGAGUCUCCAAAGCAAGGCAGCCACUUGGGAAAGGGGCUAGAGGGCAAGUCCUGCAAAGGCCAGGGAUCUGGGCUCAUAUCCCAAACUCAGGCCUCCCCUCCCUAUGCCCAUUUCCUCAACUGCACGCUGGAAUCAUGGAGAGACGGUUCAGAGCGGAGUGGAGGAGCCAGAAAAGGCAGUGCCCAACUGCUGAACACACAGCCUGCCACACUGGCAGUAACCACACUCCCAGCCUGCCUUGCGUUGGAAUGGCUGGAGCUAUGGGAGGAGCUACUCGGUCACUCCCAUCCGAGGUACCCUGGAGGCACAGGGGUCCCCCUAGAAUGGAGAGCGAAUGAAUGUCAGGCCUGGCAGGUGGGAACAGCCUGAUGUUAUUAUGGCGGCCUGCUGGGAUUUGAAUGUCCCCCAAAAUCCAUGUUGAAAACCUAACCCCCAAAUUUGUGUGUUUGCUGGUAUGAAGACGGGAUUAGAGUCAGAUGAUGUCUAGCAGGUUGGGUCCAUGAUGGCAGCAUUAAUGACUUUACAUGAAGAGAAGGGACCCCUGAGCAGACACCCUUCUGACAGGUAUUGACGUGUCCCUCUGACCAGUAUGGCACCAUACUCUGGACUUCCCGGUCUCCAGAGCUAUAAACUAAAUACAUUUCUGUUUUAAUUGACCUAGUCAGUGGCAUUCUGUGAUCGCAGCAGAAGACAGACUGACCAAACAGCCUGAAGCCACUAACACGUGCUGGUCUGUGACCUGCAAUACUCCACAUGGGCACAUGGAGUGCUCUGCCAGUGGGAGGCCCAGAGUGAGGGCAAUCAAGACGUCUCAGCAAGCCCACCAUCAGCCCUCAGUGACUCGUAACACAAACAAGAAGCAGAUAUGUGCUGCUGGGAGCCACCAGGUUCUGGGGUCUGACACUAUAUACAACUUAGUAUAUCCUGACUUUUAUACAUUGUUAUCAUCAAUAUUGAUGGGUUGAUC